rnacentral:rRNA from 1 species
UACGGAGGAUGCGAGCGUUAGCCGGAAUGCUUGGGCGUAAAGAGUCCGCAGGUGGAUGUGUGUGUCUAUUGUCAAAGCAUCAUGCUUAACAUGAUAAAGGCAGUAGAAACUACACGACUAGAGUGCGUUCGGGGCAGAGGGAAUUCCUGGUGUAGCGGUGAAAUGCGUAGAGAUCAGGAAGAACACCGGUGGCGAAAGCGCUCUGCUAGGCCGCAACUGACACUGAGGGACGAAAGCUAGGGGAGCGAAUGGG